rnacentral:rRNA from 1 species
GACGUAGGGGGCCAGCGUUGUUCGGAAUUACUGGGUGUAAAGGGUUCGUAGGCGGUGCGGCAAGUCGGGAGUGAAAUCUCUGGGCUUAACCCAGAGGCUGCUUCCGAAACUGCUGUGCUUGAGUGUGGGGGAGGCGCGUGGAAUUGCAGGUGUAGCGGUGAAAUGCGUAGAUAUCUGCAGGAACACCCGUGGCGAAAGCGGCGCGCUGGACCACUACUGACGCUGAGGAACGAAAGCUAGGGGAGCAAACAGG